AAUUCGAAGAUACACGAAGAACCUUACCUGGCCUUGACAUGGUAGGAACCCUUAAGAGAUUAGGGGGUGCUAGCUUGCUAGAACCUACACACAGGUGCUGCACGGCUGUCGUCAGCUCGUGUCGUGAGAUGUUGGGUUAAGUCCCGCAACGAGCGCAACCCUCGUCCUUAGUUGCUAACAGUUCGGCUGAGCACUCUAGGGAGACUGCCUUCGCAAGGAGGAGGAAGGUGAGGACGACGUCAAGUCAUCAUGGCCCUUACGGCCAGGGCUACACACGUGCUACAAUGGGGCGUACAGAGAGCUGCGAUACCGCGAGGUGGAGCCAAUCUCUUAAAGCGUCUCUCAGUUCGGAUUGUUCUCUGCAACUCGAGAACAUGAAGCUGGAAUCACUAGUAAUCGCAGAUCAGCUAUGCUGCGGUGAAUACGUUCCCGGGUCUU
rnacentral:rRNA from 1 species